rnacentral:rRNA from 1 species
GACGAACGCUGGCGGCGUGCUUAACACAUGCAAGUCGAACGGAAAGGCCCUGCUUUUGUGGGGUGCUCGAAUGGCGAACGGGUGAGUAACACGUGAGUAACCUGCCCUUGACUUUGGGAUAACUUCAGGAAACUGGGGCUAAUACCGGAUAGGAGCUCCUGCUGCAUGGUGGGGGUUGGAAAGUUUCGGCGGUUGGGGAUGGACUCGCGGCUUAUCAGCUUGUUGGUGGGGUAGUGGCUUACCAAGGCUUUGACGGGUAGCCGGCCUGAGAGGGUGACCGGCCACAUUGGGACUGAGAUACGGCCCAGACUCCUACGGGAGGCAGCAGUGGGGAAUAUUGCACAAUGGGCGGAAGCCUGAUGCAGCAACGCCGCGUGCGGGAUGACGGCCUUCGGGUUGUAAACCGCUUUCGCCUGUGACGAAGCGUGAGUGACGGUAAUGGGUAAAGAAGCACCGGCUAACUACGUGCCAGCAGCCGCGGUGAUACGUAGGGUGCGAGCGUUGUCCGGAUUUAUUGGGCGUAAAGGGCUCGUAGGUGGUUGAUCGCGUCGGAAGUGUAAUCUUGGGGCUUAACCCUGAGCGUGCUUUCGAUACGGGUUGACUUGAGGAAGGUAGGGGAGAAUGGAAUUCCUGGUGGAGCGGUGGAAUGCGCAGAUAUCAGGAGGAACACCAGUGGCGAAGGCGGUUCUCUGGGCCUUUCCUGACGCUGAGGAGCGAAAGCGUGGGGAGCGAACAGGCUUAGAUACCCUGGUAGUCCACGCUGUAAACGGUGGGUACUAGGUGUGGGGUCCAUUCCACGGGUUCCGUGCCGUAGCUAACGCUUUAAGUACCCCGCCUGGGGAGUACGGCCGCAAGGCUAAAACUCAAAGGAAUUGACGGGGCCCCGCACAAGCGGCGGAGCAUGCGGAUUAAUUCGAUGCAACGCGUAGAACCUUACCUGGGUUUGACAUGGAUCGGGAGUGCUCAGAGAUGGGUGUGCCUCUUUUGGGGUCGGUUCACAGGUGGUGCAUGGCUGUCGUCAGCUCGUGUCGUGAGAUGUUGGGUUAAGUCCCGCAACGAGCGCAACCCCUGUUCACUGUUGCCAGCACGUUAUGGUGGGGACUCAGUGGAGACCGCCGGGGUCAACUCGGAGGAAGGUGGGGAUGACGUCAAGUCAUCAUGCCCCUUAUGUCCAGGGCUUCACGCAUGCUACAAUGGCUGGUACAGAGAGUGGCGAGCCUGUGAGGGUGAGCGAAUCUCGGAAAGCCGGUCUCAGUUCGGAUUGGGGUCUGCAACUCGACCUCAUGAAGUCGGAGUCGCUAGUAAUCGCAGAUCAGCAACGCUGCGGUGAAUACGUUCCCGGG